rnacentral:rRNA from 1 species
AUGGACGGCCAUAGUGCCCUGGUUCCACCUGAUCUCGUCUCGAUCUCAGAAGUUAAGAAGGGCAACGCCUUGGACUGUACUGUACUUAUGUAUGGGAACUCCUUGGUGCUGUUCAUC